AGUGAACGCUGGCGGUAGGCCUAACACAUGCAAGUCGAACGGCAGCACAGUAAGAGCUUGCUCGUACGGGUGGCGAGUGGCGGACGGGUGAGGAAUACAUCGGAAUCUACUUUUUCGUGGGGGAUAACGUAGGGAAACUUACGCUAAUACCGCAUACGACCUACGGGUGAAAGCAGGGGAUCUUCGGACCUUGCGCGAUUGAAUGAGCCGAUGUCGGAUUAGCUAGUUGGCGGGGUAAAGGCCCACCAAGGCGACGAUCCGUAGCUGGUCUGAGAGGAUGAUCAGCCACACUGGAACUGAGACACGGUCCAGACUCCGACGGGAGGCAGCAGUGGGGAAUAUUGGACAAUGGGCGCAAGCCUGAUCCAGCCAUACCGCGUGGAUGAAGAAGGCCUUCGGGUUGUAAAGUCCUUUUGUUGGGAAAGAAAAGCAGCAGGUUAAUACCCCGCUGUUCUGACGGUACCCAAAGAAUAAGCACCGGCUAACUUCGUG
rnacentral:rRNA from 1 species